GGGCCCUUCGUUUUAAAUUGCCCUGUCUGCAGAGUUCGGGUUGGAUCUAGUAGGAGACGAGGCAUAGUCACCCGCUUUUCGGCCAGUUUUCAUCAGUAGGUUACCUGUUCAACCUACUCGUGUUUUCUUGCUUCCGCUUGUGUUUAGUAGCUCUGAAUACUUUGGGAUUAUUGUAUAUUAUGUGAGGUUCGGAAGUGUUGAAUUAAGAGUGUAAUAUGAAAUUUUCGAGUUAGGGUUGUCCAUCUGCAAGGGAGAUUUUCUUAAUCUUUUCAGUAAAUUUUCGUUGGAGGUGGUCCCCGCACGACUUACUCUGGGUUUCAGGGUGAAAUUCGGGGUGGGUCGUGUCAUCUAAAUACUUUAAGAUUUUCGGUGCUAUAUUCCAUUAUCAUGUGUAGUUGAUACAAGUAGUUGAUAUUGCAUGUGUUAAUCAUCCAAAGUUCGACUUUUAUACACGUAGUUGAUAAGUUGCAUUGUCUUUGUUAUUUCACCGAUUUUCUACCUAUGUUUGAUUUGGACUUGUGCUUAAACACAUCGAUUCUUUAUGUGAUACGUAAUUGCAUGAUUAGUUUAUGUGUGUGACCUAUAAGUAGAGCACGUAGCCGAGCUUGUUGUGUCGCGAUGUUGAAUGAAACCCGUAGUCUAAUUCUAAGUAGGUCUAUGUCAUAGGAACCACGUAGGAACUUAUGUGCAUAUCAAAUUUAGGUUGUAUAUUUGCUCACGGUGUAGACUUAAAUGAGAUUAGAAAUCGUUUUCUUUAUUCUUGCAUGGUUGUUUGGUUGAGUUUGCAUGAAUGUUGGUUGAUCACAUGUAUAUAUGUAUAGAAGUAAUUUAGGAUUUAUUAUUAAUGUUGUUCCGAAAUCAUAAAACCUUUAAACCUAUAUGCUUAUUUCGAUAUUUACAUUAGAUUAGAUGGAUCUACCCUGUAGUUGGAUCCCCGGUUUAGAACGAUCCCUGCUUGCUUUAUACUACGACUGAUUUGUUGACAGGGUUAAUUGAUGCGUGUGCAAAUACGUCUUAUCAGCAGCAGAUGGCACAUUAUUUUCAGCAUACUGAUGGUGGGAAUCAUGCUAUGACCCAAGGUUCAAGCUCUUACUGUGCUCAAAGCCAGACUUUUGGAGCAAACACCAUGUGCAGUACUGUGCACUUUUGGAGCAAACACCAUGUGCAGUACUGUGCACCCCUUCUCCCAGCUCCAUAUGCAUAAUAGUGACCCUCUCCCUAAUACUGCUUCUUUUGGACCCCCUCCCUUGCCUUUCCACCAUACUCCUCCUGUGUCCUACCCUCAAGCACUAACGUACCAUCAAACACAGCCUUAUCCCCAAACACAAACCACAUAUGCUGUCACAUCCCGACCCUUAUAUUUUUACCUUAUUUACUAGCGUGAUUAUAAUAAGAAUUUUACCGUCUCGAUCAUUGAGUAAAUAGUUUAAUUGGUCCCUAGAGGGGUUUC
rnacentral:lncRNA from 1 species